rnacentral:rRNA from 2 species
GAGUUUGAUCCUGGCUCAGGAUGAACGCUGGCUGUGUGCCUAAUACAUGCAUGUUGAGCGGAGUUCUUCGGAACUUAGCGGCGAAUGGGUGAGUAACACGUACUUAACAUGCCUUUUAGAUUGGGACAACGAUGAGAAAUUAUCGCUAAUACCGGAUACUUAUAUGGUUCGCAUGAACUAUAUAUAAAAGAAGCCUUUAAAGCUUCACUAAAAGAUUGGGGUGCGGAACAUUAGCUAGUUGGUAAGGUAAUGGCUUACCAAGGCGAUGAUGUUUAGCGGGGUUGAGAGACUGAUCCGCCACACUGGGACUGAGAUACGGCCCAGACUCCUACGGGAGGCAGCAGUAGGGAAUUUUCCACAAUGGACGAAAGUCUGAUGGAGCGACACAGCGUGCAGGAUGAAGGCCUUCGGGUUGUAAACUGCUGUUAUAAGGGAAGAAAAAGCAGUAGAGGAAAUGCUAUUGCCUUGACGGUACCUUGUCAGAAAGCAACGGCUAACUAUGUGCCAGCAGCCGCGGUAAUACAUAGGUUGCAAGCGUUAUCCGGAAUUAUUGGGCGUAAAGCGUCUGUAGGUUGUAUGUUAAGUCUGGCGUGAAAACUUGGGGCUCAACCCCAAAUUGCGUUGGAUACUGGCAUGCUAGAAUUGUGUAGAGGUUAGCGGAAUUCCUAGUGAAGCGGUGAAAUGCGUAGAUAUUAGGAAGAACAUCAAUGGCGAAGGCAGCUAACUGGGCACAUAUUGACACUGAGAGACGAAAGCGUGGGGAGCAAACAGGAUUAGAUACCCUGGUAGUCCACGCUGUAAACGAUGAUGAUUAGCUGAUAGUAGAACUAUCGGCACAGCUAACGCAUUAAAUCAUCCGCCUGAGUAGUAUGCUCGCAAGAGCGAAACUUAAAGGAAUUGACGGGGAUCCGCACAAGCGGUGGAGCAUGUGGUUUAAUUUGAAGAUACGCGUAGAACCUUACCCACUCUUGACAUCUUCCGCAAAGCUAUAGAGAUAUAGUGGAGGCUAACGGAAUGACAGAUGGUGCAUGGUUGUCGUCAGCUCGUGUCGUGAGAUGUUCGGUUAAGUCCUGCAACGAGCGCAACCCUUGUCCUUAGUUAAUUUUCUAGGGAGACUGCCCGAGUAAUUGGGAGGAAGGUGGGGACGACGUCAAAUCAUCAUGCCUCUUACGAGUGGGGCAACACACGUGCUACAAUGGAUGGUACAAAGAGAAGCAAAACGGCGACGUCAAGCAAAUCUCAAAAAACCAUUCUCAGUUCGGAUUGUAGUCUGCAACUCGACUACAUGAAGUCGGAAUCGCUAGUAAUCGUAGAUCAGCUACGCUACGGUGAAUACGUUCUCGGGUCUUGUACACACCGCCCGUCACACCAUGGGAGCUGGUAAUGCCCGAAGUCGGUUUUGUUAACUACGGAGACAACUGCCUAAGGCAGGGCCGGUGACUGGGGUGAAGUCGUAACAAGGUAAC